rnacentral:lncRNA from 1 species
CCCGCCCAGCCCUCGGAGGGGGCCGUCCUUCCGAAGAAACGAAAGUGAAGUUGACCCGGAGCCAUCUUGCGCCCGGCACACUGGCGCGGGGUUCGCGUCCCGGGGGGCUUCGGGUGCAGGCGGGCGCGCAGGCGGGGCGAUGCCCGAGGGGCGCCAUGGAUCCUUGGCAGGUAAGCCGUCCGCGGGGUGCGCUGCGACGGCGCCCGCCUUGUGCGGCGUGGCUGCGGGAGCCGGUUUCCGGGGCCGAGCCGGGCGCACGUCCCUUCCCGGUGCGGCUCCAGCGGCGCGCGGGGCAGGGAUCCGGGAGAAGGGGCACCCCGAGCAGCAGCACCCCAGCCCCGGGCCGCUCUCGGCCAGGGCUCCGCCGCUGCCCCCAGCCGCACUCCAGCCCCACUCGAACGACUUUCCCGACUUUUAGCAGCCCUCCUCCCCACACCCCUUGCACCCCCAGAGGAGGCCUUAGCGAGACUAAAAGUAGCCCUUGAGGACCUGUCGGGGAAGUCUGUGGCCGCUUGUGCACCGCAGCUGAAAACUGGAAAAACUCCCACGUCCUGCAACAGGUUGAUAGGAAGCCCGUAGGUCCCUGCUGUGGAGUGCGGUUCAGCAGUUUAGUAAGGAAUCACACAUUCCUGCAGCUCGGAUGUCGUCACGAUCUUAGUACACAGAUGUGGCGCUUCUCUGCCCAGGUCCCUGGCAUUCUGGAAAAACUACAGGAACAAAAAACAGAUCCGUGCCGGGGGAAGAGGUUGACAGCAGAGCGUCUUGAGGAACUUAGGGGGGAGUAGAAGUGCUCUAUGUCCGGCUAUAUUUUUAUUUAUUUAUUUACUUAUUUUUGUGAAACUGAGGCGUGAACCCAGGACCUCACACGUGGUAGACAAGCAACUGUUUCACUGAGCUGCAUCCCCAGCCUUUUAAAUUUUAUUUUGAGUCAGGGUCUCUGUAAAUUGCCCAGGCUGGUCUUGAACUUCCAGUCCUUUUGCUGUAACCCCUGGAAUAGUUGGGACUACAGGUACGUGCCGCUGCUCCCAGCUUUGAAGUGUUCUGUGAUAAGAGCACUCACCUAGCAUGUGCAGGGCCCUGGGUUCAAGCCCCAGCACCAAAAAAUAAAUAAGGCCCUUCUUUAAAGGAUUAGGGAGACCUGACUUGAAGAAGUAUUUCUUCAGACAUACCAGAGGGUGGCGCUGUGGAGCCAUGUGGUAAAGGUGGGGGGCUUUAGUCUCUUGAUUCUAAAUAUAAGAGGCUAAGUUAAAAUGAAAUCCAGGAGGCUGUGAAUGUCAGAUGACUUGUUAUGCAGUUUGCUCAGUAAAGAGACAUGAAGUGGGAGAGAAGUGGGGUGAGGGUUUAGGAAGGACCACCAUGGGCAGGUUUCCUACCUGUCGCUCCCACACCAUUGGUGGUUAUCUGCAUGGCUGUUCUAAAGUGGGACUUGGUUUUUAGGGUGCUGAAAGGGGUAAGAAGACAAUGACCCUCCCUCCCCCUCUAACACAACUUCCCCAAAAUAACUGUGAAAAAAUUCACGUAUCAUUUCUCUUUUUUCUCUGAAUUCAUUCUAGCUUAUGCACAUGUACAUUUAUAUACGUACAUGUAUACAUAUGAGUUUUUCCUUAUUUAUAAAAAAAGAGAAAAAAUAAUGUAUAUGUAUUCUGAAACUUGCUUUUAUGUUGUUGUUUUAGUCAAUAUAUUCCUAAAUUUUCUCUAGGUGAAUACAAAUAGAUCUAAAACACACACACACACACACACACACACACACACACACACACUGGGGAUUGAACCCAGGAGCAGUUUACUACUGAGCCCCGUCCUUUUUUUUUUUAACUACAGGGUGUCACUAAGUUGCUGAGGCUGGCCUCAAACUUGUAAUCCUCGUGCCUCAGGCUCUUGAGUCACUGGAAUUACAGGUGUGUGCCACCCCCCUGGCCAUAUUUUUUUUUUUUUAAGGUGGAUUCAAUAUCUUUAGUUUGCAUUUAUGUGGUGCUGAGGAUCGAACCCGGUGCCCUGUGCAUGCUAGGACGAGCACUCUACCACUGAGCCACAACCCAAGCCCCCCCCGGCCAUAUUUUUAAACCCCGUGUGAAUACUGUUCCACAGCAUGAGUGUUUCAUCAUUUAUUCAACCUUUUUUUUUUUUUUAGGUGGGUACUCAAAGAUUUGCCAGAUUUUGGUUGAGAGUAGCAGUUUGACUCUAGAAAACACCUGGUAGAAACUGACUUCAGAACAGUUUUCUUUUCUGAAAGGUACUCAAAGAGCUAAUCAGAAAACCCCUAAAAAUCCCCAUAAUCCAGCUCUGUGAUUGGGGUGCUCACUGUGUCCACACAACAUCUCUGCCCCUAGCAAUAUGGGGGGACAGAGAUACAAUAGAGGAGCGAGGGCUGGGGUUGCUGCUCAGUGGAAGAGCAUUUGCGUAGCAGCGGGGGGCACUAGGUCCGAUUCUCAGCACCGCAUGUAAAUGAAGAAAAUAAAGGUCCCUUUACAAAUAAGUAAAUAAAUAAAUAGAACCUGUCUCAAAUUUUUUAAAAAAGGACUAGGGAUGUAUAUCAGUGGUAAAGCAUCCCUGGACUCAGUGAAUUCCCCCACCCCCAAAAAAGAGGAGUGAGGAAGGGGGUGCCAUUGCUUGCCUGGGUGCCUUGUUCACGCAUUCAUGUGUGUUGCUUGGUGGUUUUAAUUUUGUGCCAGGUGCUGGGGAGACAAAGGUGACCGUAGCCUAGUCCUUGUCCCCCAAGAGUUCCCUGUGGAGUCAGCCACAGCCCCCAUGGGCACUGUGUGGGAGUGGAGGUGUGAUUUCUGGGCGCCUGACCUUGUUAAUGGCCUUUCAGAUACACUGUAUCUAUGCCAUGAUCAAAAAAUCUAAAGCUAUGAUGAAGCCAGUGGUCCAGCAGGUGCUGACUGGGUGGAGUUCCAGGAGGGGACUCUGGGCUGAGGGAGGUGGGAGUCAGGAGCCUCCUGAAGAAAGUGGCCUUUAGGAGAUUUGUGAGGAAAGGGCCAGUCGUGGAGGGCAGAGGUGCCGCGCUGGUGUGGCGGGAGAGGAGCAGAAGGACUUGAGGCUUCUGUGUAGUCUGAGUAAGAGGCAGUGACGAGGGGCUGCAACCCGAAUGGGACACAGUUCCUCCAGAGGUGGUGGGCCAGACAGGGCAAGGCAGCCGCCGGCUUAGAGGGGCCGUGAGGAAGGAGGGCAGACAGCCAGGUCCCUGGCCUUAGUGACCUGCGAGAAGGAUGCCGUGAACAGUGACAACGGGAGAGGAGGGUGGCUUUGAGGGAAAUGAUAAAUUUGGUCCAGAAUAUGUGGCAUUUGAGGUAAUGGAGGGUUACUUGAGUGCACAGGUAUCUAGGUAGUUGGUGCGAAGUGGCAGCUGGCUAGACGCGAGUUGCUUCAGGGGGCUGGCUUGGGUUGGCGGAGUGGGUGACGUCAACCUAGUGGACAAAAUAUAAAGAAAACUCUUAGACAAGCCAUGGGGACUGAGGGUAUAGAAAGGGCAGGAGAAGGGGACAGAGAUGAUCUUUGAUGCUGUGUCACCAGAUCCUGGGAGGAGAGUUUUGUGAAGAAGAAGCUUUAUCUGUGGUGAGCCCGUGCAGUUUAUGGAACUGGGUGGCCAACAGUGGAGACCCAGCCACGGCUCAAGAGCAGGACGUGUAUGCACCUGUUAGCACAGUCAUUGUCCUUCAGUUCCACGGAAGCUUGGGUGAAGAGACAGCGCCCAGUGGGUGCUGGGUAGAGAGGCAAACUGACCAUAGAUCCAGGCAGAGUGAGGGAGCGUUCAGAGACGUGGGGAAGCUGCCCCCAGAAAGGAGCAGGAGUCGGCCAGUGCAGCCCACAGCUGACCCCUGUUUUGGGGAAUGGAGAUCCCGGUAAAGAAAUCGUCCCUAAACGUUGACAUGCUGUGAGUGGCUGCUUUGUGCUAUAAUGGCACAGCUCUCUGGCCCUUUCUAGAAAAAAGAUGCCAGCCACUGGAGAAGAGUUUCAGGGUUUGAGGGGUCAGCCGUGGCCUGGGUUGGCAUUAAUGGUGAUAUCAGAGGGGCAGCUGGAUAAGCCAGACAUGUGGCUGAAAGAGGAGAGGGAGGUCACCUUCAUAGAGAUCAAGGAACCCUACAACCAGAAUCAUCGGCAAGAAUGCCAACGUCCCCUACUUGUGGGGAGUAGAAAGCACAGCUGUUGAAGAAAGGGGUGCAGCUGCUCCUGGAGCCUUCAGGAGGACCGGAGGAGGGGACAUAAACACGAGGUGCAGCCCCUCCCAAGCCUGCAGCCCUGGGCAAAGGAAGCAGAGUGCCUCCUGCCACCCCCAGCCCCAUGAGCACCUCCUGCCUGCUGCACACUCAGUACGCGGCACCAGGGAGAGGAAGAGCCCCAGAUGGAGGGCCCUGGUGGAUGGGCCACAGCUGCUCCACUGCAGUGCACAUAUGGCGACAGGAGAAUUUGGGGUCUCUUGUGCUCACACAGCAGAGCUCAGAAGGGGGGGCCAUGGAAGCAACCCUUGGGAGGUAGCUGGCAGGGUAGGAGGCUGAGGGUAAGGAGGGGACCCUGCCCGGGUGCUUGGGAGAAGUGCCAGGGCUCCCUCCCAAUCCCAGGCCUGGGCACUAUGCUGAGGAGCAAGGACAGUGUGCCAGUCCUGUAAGGACACCUUCCAGCUUCCCUAAAACCACACUGUGAGCCUCGUGGGAGGCCAGUGACAAGCAGGGGGCCCGCUCAGGCCCUCUCCGUUUUACAACCAGGGCUGACACGUGGGGGAGCCUGGCUCAAGGAGGGGGAGCCCUGUCCAUCCGCAGCCCCCUCACGCCCUUCCUUUUUCAGGGUUCUGGUUUUGGUUUUAAGACAAAAUGCGAUUUGUUUUCGGGUUCCGGAGGGUCUCUUGGCGUUGGUGGGAAGGUUCCUGUCAACUCUCCAAAAGGCUGUGGAAAGGGAGACUAGUUAGGUCUCUGGAGAGGCUGGGGCACUCGAACCCCGGCUGGGUGCCCCUGUGCUCCGCCUCCUGUCCCCUGUGUGCCAUUGGUGGCCCCAGGCAGUACUUAAGAGGUGGCUAAGUCACCCCAGCGAGGUCGUAAGCCCAUGACUGUCACCUUUUCAGCCUGUUGGAAACCGGAACGUCUUCCCGGGCAGGGUCAGGAGGGGACCCCGCGGCCUCGCUGCAGCCUGGUUCAUCCCUCUGCUCCCUCUGUCCACAGGGGUGUUUCUUCAACGGACACCGCCCCCGCCCUGGCCACGGCUAUGAGCACAGCAAGGCCAGACAGCAGCAGCCGUGGCAGGAAUCGCGCACCGGUAGCUUCCGGCUCCAGCAAAUAGAGUUUCUCAAGGGGCGGCUCUCAGAAGUGCCCCUGACUGGAACGCAGGCACCGUCCCUGCCACCACCAGUAGUCCCCCCAGGACUCUGGCCCAGGUUUCCGGGACCACCUGUUAGAGCCAGGCAGCCUGAGAUCUGGGGGGUCUGCAGCGGCGUGCCUCUCAGAGGUCAGGGGCUGCAGGCAGUGCCCCAGCUUCCCCUGCCAGGUGGCAGGGGCCUGCCGUGGAGAGGUGCUGACCGGCUCUCCUCCCGCUUCCAGGGACUGAGCAUCAGUCAGGGCCAGGAGGAAAGGGUCUUAGAGUUCCUAAAGGAGCUCGGGGAAGGGAAGGACACCACAGCGCAGGAGCUGGCCAGGAAGCUCAGGGUCCCCAAGAGAGAGGUCAAUCAAGCUUUGUACUCCCUGGCAAAGAAGGGUCAGCUGCACAGGAAGCAGGGCACACCCCCUUUGUGGAGCGCUGCGGCCUCCGUUCCAGCCCGGAGCCAGCCCGGCACACUGGUACAGCCCGACCUUCAGAGCCAGGGAGCCCCAAGCCCAGAGCCCAACUCAGAAUCUGAAGAAAGUCACCCCACAUCUGACUCAGAAGAUCCUCCUGAGCCUGUGGACAUGGCUGAGAUCAAGGAGAAGAUCUGCGACUACCUGUUCAACGUGUCUAACUGCUCCGCCCUGAGUCUGGCUAAAAACAUCGGCUUCACCAGAGCCCGAGAUGUGAACGCAGUGCUGUGCGACAUGGAAAAGCAGGGCGACGUCUACCGGCAAGGGGCCAUCCCCACCUGGUACCUGACGGACAAGAAGCGAGAGAGGAUGCAGAUCAAGAGGAACACACAGAGUGCUCCCGCGGCCACCCAGGGUGCUGUCCCCGCCACCAGCAGGAACACGGCAUUCCCCACCUAUCACCUCCCCCCACCCAACGCCCCAAACAAUACAAUGACCACAGAAAAAGCGGAGAAUGGGCAGGACCCGCUCAUAAGGUUAGAGAGUAGACAGGAGCCCAGACCAGGGCCCAUGAAACUGAGGCCCCCUGUUUAUCACAAUGGCCCCUCAAAAGCAGGGUAUGUUGACUUUGAAAAUGGCCAGUGGGCCACAGAUGACAUCCCGGAUGACUUGAAUAGCAUCCACGCGGCACCGGGUGAGUUCCGAGCCAUCAUGGAGAUGCCCUCCUUCUACAGCCACGGCUUGCCCCGGUGCUCGCCCUACAAGAAGCUGACCGAGUGCCAGCUGAAGAACCCCGUCAGCGGGCUGCUGGAGUACGCGCAGUUCGCCAGCCAGACCUGCGAGUUCCACCUCAUCGAGCAGAGCGGGCCCCCCCACGAGCCCCGGUGAGCCCCUGCCGGACGCGCCUAGGGCCGGACCAACAAGCCUCGGCCGACUGUGAGCGGUGCCCUUCGGUGGCCCUGUCCCCCUCUUCCUUUUUGGCCUUUGGCUGAAUCAUCCUCCUUUGGCCCAUUCUCUGGGCAGUGGGCCUGGAGCCACCAGAAUCCUGGCCGAGCCAAGGGGGAGACGGACUCUUGGCUGAACUGAGGCUUCCUUAGAAAUCUCGGCUUUCAGGCACCGGGUCUCGCCUGCCCCUGAGGCCCUAGGCCAGGACCUAACUCCCUCCCCACCUCCCCCUCGAGUUGGGUUCCUGGACCAGGUACAGGAACAGGACCGCCAAGGGUGGGCCACACCAGGAUAAGGGCGUGUGCAGAGAGCCCAGGUGCACCCCCUCAACUGGGAGGCAGGCCCGCCCGCCCCCCCACCUGCCUGCUGAGGGUGGUAGUCUAACUUUAAACACCUCCUCUGCACAGAGAGGCGGGCUGGCACUGCUGAGAAGCACCUGAGGUUCCUUCAGACAGCUGGCGGGCCUUACACUCUUGGCCCCGUAGGCCAGGACAGACAGACAGGUGGGCCCAGAAAGGACCUGGAGCCAUUGACUCAAGUCCGAGUGGCUGCAAGCCGCUGCUGGACAGAACCAGAGAGAAUGGGAAACAUGCCACCAACUUUUAUAGUUACAUGUCAGGUGCAGGGACACGUCCUGAGCAAUGUCCUGUUAGGUGAUUUUGUCACUGUACCAACCUAGAGUGUGCUUACACAAGCCUACGACAGCCACAGGUCACUGGGCAGUAUUACCUUGUGGGUCCACUGUUGUGUUACGUGGUCCAUCAUCGGCCCAAACGUCCUUGUGGCGUGGGACAGCGUUUACACGGCUGCUUUCCAGACUGAGGUGCCCCCUUUGGCCCUUGGUCCUCCUCUGACCGUCUUAAUGGCCCCAAGUUGGCGUUACAGGGGAGCUCUUAGGAAGAGGGGUAUGUCUGUCCAGAAGCUGGCAGGGCCAUGACGGUUUUGUCUCUGUUUGCGACAGAGGCUGAGUGGCUGUCAUCCUUUUCCCACCAGCCCCCUUCGCCAGAGUUGGGGGACAGCCAGGAGUUUUGUGGUUAAAUAAUUUUUUGACCUUCAGCUAUAGGACAUCGGUGCCGUGUUAAGUACUUCAGAAGACCUGGGAGAUAAGAAAUCUGACCUCCUUUUCUAGAUGAAACCCAGACUGAGCGAAGAGCUAAGGAAAAUAUAGAAGCUUGACUACAAGAGGCCUAGGCUGGGUCUAGCAGCCCGUAACAAAUGCUUUUGGUUUUCUUUAUAACAAGGGAAAUUCCUUCACCUCAGGCUCGGAGGAAGUUGAGAGGUCUAGCAUGACUUAACACACGUUUUAAGAGUGAAUUAUCUUUGGGGGUAACUUAGGGACAAACAUCCCUGGAGGCUGCCCCGUCCUCCUCUGCCCCCUUCCCCAGCCUGCCCCUCGUCCUCCCACAUCCUCCCCUUCUCCCUCCACCCAGUGGGGGCCCCGAUGAGCGGCAGUGUGUGGAGAGCAGGAGACUGAUACGGACACACCUCUGCUCUCUUUCUUCUUUCUUUCCUUUUGCAGUGCUGGGGAUCGAGCCCAGGCUCUAAUGCCAUUGAGCCACACCCCCCAGGCCUUCUCUAUUUUUUAGGACCUUCCUGAGGAGGCCAGUCCACCUCGUUUGCUUUAGGAUGAAGGCUUUUGGGUUGCUGUCGAGACUAUAAUGGUGAUUUUAGCCCGUGGCUUAUUGCACACAACUUAUUAUAUUUAAGGCAUGGGGGGGUCUCCUGUGAGCAAGGUUCCUAUCACCCACUGUGGUGGCUGUGCAUGCUUCACUGACCUAUGGGGACAGAGUCACUGGCUGCUCUGUUCCCUAGAAGAACGGACAAGCUGCCAGGUGCACACCUAUAAUCCCAGUGGUUUGGGAAGCCGAGGCAGGCGGAUUGAGAGUUCAAAGCCAGCCUCGGCAACUUAGUGAGGCCCUGACCAACUCAGCAAGACCUGUCUCUAAAUAAAAUGCAGAAAAGGGCUGAGGGUGUGGCUCAGUGGUUGAGUGUCCCCGAUUCAGUCCCUGGUACCAAAAAAAAAGAAGGGACAGGCCAAGCCUCCAAACGGACAGAAAUUCCUGGCCUACCCUCCAAGUCCGCUCCGUGGGGUGGGACACGCGGGAGGGAGGUGUCUUUGGGAAGAGCAGAGAGGUGGCCCGGCUUGGCUUCUCAUGUCUGACUGCCUUCCGCCAAGGUUUAAGUUCCAGGUUGUCAUCAGUGGCCGCGAGUUCCCCCCGGCGGAAGCUGGCAGCAAGAAGGUGGCCAAGCAGGAUGCAGCUCUGAAAGCCAUGACGAUCCUACUGCGGGAGGCCAAAGCCAAGGACAGUGGGAAGCCAGAGGACUUGUCCUGCUGUUCCCCAGAAAAAGAGCCAGAGGAGGUAGGGACCUGCCCAAGGUGGGUCUCGUCUCUCAGGUCUCAAGGGGUAGCAUCUUAACUGGCCCCUGGAAGCGAUCCUGGUCUAAAAGCCCUGGUCUCUAGUCCCAAGACAGCUUCCCGCCUCCUCUGCCCACCUCCAACCCGCUUUCCUCUCCUUCCCAGCCCCCCUCCUGCCCCCUUGAGCCUAGCUGGAGGUGCAGAACGUCAAGCCUGGAAGAGGCUGAAGCAGUACGGUGCUCCGUCUCCACUUUGGGCAGAUAGCUUACUCUCUCCUGCCAUGCCCGGGAAGGCCACCCUUAACACUGACGGAUCCGAGAGUCCCCGUCCGUCCCUUCUGCGGAGGCGGAGCAGCCGGCCUGGUCUCAGUUCCUCGUGCUUUAUUCUGUCUUCUCGUCUCACUUUCUCCAGACAGCGGAGCCCCAGCCCACCGCCACCUCAACGUCGUCCCUGUUUUCUGGGAAGAGCCCCGUCACUACCUUGCUGGAGUGUAUGCACAAACUGGGCAACUCCUGUGAAUUCCGGCUCCUGUCCAAAGAAGGCCCUGCCCAUGACCCCAAGUACGUCCGGGGAGGGACGGUGUCUCCAAGAGGCUUUCUCAGAGACAGGCUCGUCUUCCUCUUCAGAGACGGCAGCUUAUUGUCUCUGAGCAGUUUCUUCUGCUGCAUGUGGAAGGGCCUUCAGGACCUGGUUGCUGCUUGGAAAGCAGAGAAGCUGGAAUCGGGAGUCCAGAGGGACCAAGGGCAAGGAGGGGUUGGUAGCGUGGGGGUCACUGUUGGUGGGACAGAAAGGUCCAGGGCCUUGGUGGGCCUGAGCAGCUCUCUGAGGGUCUGUGGACUCACAUAUCCGAGAGAAGGGCUCUGGAGGAGGGGAAAGUUUUGCAUGUUGAAAGUGGGGAGCCAGGCUGAGAGACCCGGGCAGCAGGUGGGCGAGGGGCAGCGGCUAUGCAAGGCAGAAGUGACUAUAGAAGGUGAUGUGCACAAGAAGUCGCAUGUAGUAGAGAACGUUAGCAAGUUGGGCCGGUCUCUGCAAUCACAACCUUCCUCCCUCUGGUCAGGUUCCAGUACUGUGUGGCGGUGGGAGCCCAAACCUUCCCUACCGUGAGUGCUCCCAGCAAGAAAGUGGCAAAGCAGAUGGCCGCAGAGGAGGCCAUGAAGGCCCUGCACGAGGAGGCCACCAACUCGGUUGAUGACCAGGUGGGCGUUUCUCCUGCUGAAACACCGUGGGGCGAUCUAGCAACGGAGCAGGUCAGGGUGGCCCACGUUUCUUUGAAUGUUCAUGGCUCCUUUUUGUUUGGCUGAUUCUCCUUUAGUCUGGAGGUGCCAACUCAGAAUCACUUGACAACCUGGACUCUGGGAUGCCCAACAGGAUCAGGAGGAUCGGUGAGCUCGUCAGAUACCUGAACACCAACCCCGUGGGCGGCUUGUUAGAGUACGCCCGCUCCCAUGGCUUUGCUGCUGAGUUCAAGUUGGUGGACCAGUCUGGACCCCCUCAUGAGCCCAAGUGAGUGUUCCAGACCCAGCUCCUGCUGGGUGUCAUCAGGUAGGGGUGGUGUGUCGUCCAGGGAAAGAAAGGAUGUGCGCCGCUGUGAAGGACAGGGAAGGCAGGUGAUGAAACAAGCCAACCCUCUCUCCACAGCCUCUUGGAUGAAGUUAGUCUUCCAUCUUGAGGAUACAGUGAGCAUUUUAUAUAUAUAUAUAUAUUUACUUUUAAAUAUAUAUUAAAUAUAUAUUAUAUAAAUAUAUAUUAAAUAUAUAUUAAAUAUAUAUUAUAUUUUAAAUAUAUAUAUAUAUAUAUUUACUUUUUUUAUUUCUGAAAGAAAAAAAAAAAAAUAUAUAUAUAUAUAUAUAUAUAAAAUCAUUCAAACUGACCAAAUAAGUCUAUAGCGAAAAGUCUUAUUUCUAUCCCAGACUUCUCUCCUAAGAUCCUCAUACUAUCAACUUGAAUUUCCUUCUGGAAAUUUCUAUGCAUAACUAGCACAGUUUCCUUUCUUUUUUUCUUUUUUUUUAAACAAGAAUAAGCAUAGAGCAUGCUUUCUGUUCAACACCUUGUGCCAGUGUGUCUCAGAUAGUGUCUCAGGUAAAUACAGAUCAGAAUAUACAGCUCUACCAAGGUCUCUUGCACAGCUGAAUGAUAUUUCAUUGACUAAAUACUUGCAAUUUUAAAAUUACUUAUUAAAUAAGAGAUAUGACAGACCUUUUCUAAAAUAGAUACUGAUGCACCACCACCUAGUUUAAGAAAAUAAAAUGUUGCUAGUACUUGGGAACACGCCACCCCAACUUGGCAUAAUUUGUUUAACCCACUUCCAGUGACAUUUAGGUUGCUUUGGUCACACUAUUAGAAACACUCCAGUUGAAUUUCCUCAUACUGUAUGCUUUUGCUUUCAUUAGCAAAACUGUCAGUAGUAAUUUUUUUUAAUAUUUAUUUUUUAGUUAUAGGUGGACACAAUAUCUUUAUUUUAUUUUUAUGUGGGGCUGAGGAUUGAACCCGGUGCCUCAUGCAUGGUAGGCGAGCGCUCUACCUCUGAGCCACAACCCCAGCCCCUAUCAGUAGUAAAUUUUUAGGAGUGAAAUUUUGGGGCCAUAAGCAAUAUGUUUUUUUAAGGUUUAAAAAUUUUUGUAUAGGUAAUAGACUACUCAAAAAUUUUUUUAAAAUUCAGAAAAAUAUAAGAAGUUCAUUCUCAGUCUCCCUUGGGCCUAGCUGUCAUCUCCUAUCCACAACCCCCAUCAACAUUUAAUGAUUUUGCAUUAUAAUAUGUCUCUCUUGAGUGUGUUUGUGUAAAUACAGGCAAGUGCAUCUCCCCUGUUGGUUUCAUAUAAGCAUUGAUCUAUAACUUGAUCUUAUACAACAAUAUAAUAGCAUUCUAUAACCCUGUAUUCUUUGAAUAAUGCUGCAAAGUGUAUUGUUAGAGUGCACGUGAUUUAGUUAACCAGCUCCUCUUGGAGAACACUUGGGUUGUUUCCAGAAUUCUGCUGUUAUGAACAAUAGUAUAGCCUGUUUAUGAGCAUUCGAAAUUUUAAUAUGUAAAUUUAUGUAAACGAGUGAUUUUCCUCCAAUGAGAUCACACCAUCUUAUGCUUUUACCAACAAUAUGUAAGAAUGGCUCUUCCCCAGCUCCACCCAGGCUAAUAUGAUAUAAUCAAAAUUGUUAUCUUUGGGGGGCUGGGGAUGUGGCUCAGGGGCAGAGCACUUGCCUAGCACCUGUGAGGCACUGAGUUCGAUCCUCAGCACCACACAAAAAUAAACAAAUAAACUAAGGCAUGCUGUCUAUCUACAACUAUAAAAAACAUUUUUUAAAAAUCUCAUCUUUGCCAUUCUAAAAUGGAAAAAAAAACAGUAUUUUGCUGUAUUGCAAAGAUUAAUCUGUUAGGAUAUUUAUUAUUACUAUUUACCAUAUUAAUGGAUCACAGGAGAGAAACCACAUAAUUAUCUCCAGAGAUUCUGAAAAGGCAUGUAUAAAACUCAGCAUCCAUUCAGAUUAACAAAACAAGCUGUCAGUAAAAUUAAAAUGAUUGAAUACCUCCUUACCAUGAUAAAAAAUACAUUUGAAGUCAAAAGCCAGCAGCUUAUUUAACGAUGAACCUAGAACUGUUCCCAUUGAAGUCAGGAGGGAGACAUAGUUGUCAGUGUCAUCAUUAUGAGGCAUUAUUCUGGAAUUCUAGCCAAUGCCAGUCAAGAGAAAGAAAUAGUGUACAUGCCAGGCGUGUGGUGCACACCUGUAAUCCCAGGGACUCAGGAGGCUGCACUGGGAUCCUCCUGUCUCAGUCUCCUGAGUCUCGGGAUACAGACGUGUGCCACCAUACCCAUGAUUGAUAGAACUCUUAAGCACGUACUGUUCAUGUACUCAGUACAACUUUAAGGCCAGCCUCAGCAACUUAACAAGUCCUAAGCAACUUAGUGAGACCCUAUCUCAAAAUAGCAAAAACUAAAAGAGCUGCAGAUAUAGCUGGUGGUAAAGCACCCCUGGGUUCAAUUCCAAGUACCAAAAACAAAGAAGAAAGAAAACCAAAUAUACAAAGAAGAAAGAGGUAGUUAGUUAAUCAUUAUUUGCAGAUGACUUGAUUGUAUACCUGGAAUAUUUACCUGAAAACCAAGGAAAUGCAUAGGCAGAGAAUUGAGAAAAGUCGGAAAUCGCAGUGAAAUGCGUAAGAAUCCAGAGCUUGCCUGUGGGCUGGGCUGUGGCUCAGUGGAGGAGCGCUCGCCUAGCACUGGGUUCCAUCCUCAGCACCACAUGAAAAAUAAAUAUAUAAACAAAUAAAAUGAUUUUUAAAAAGAGCUUAUCUGUAUGCAGGAAUAAGCAAUUGGGAAAUGCAGUGGAAGAAAUUACCCUAUUACAACAGCAACUAAAAAGAUGAACUACCAGGCUGGGGUAUAGCUCAGUUGGUAGAGUGCUUGCCUUGCACGCACAAGGCCCUGGGUUCAAUCCCCAGCACCACAGGAAAAAAAAAAAAAAAGAUAAACUACCUAGGCACAGUCCUAAUAGGAACUAUGUAGGAACAAUGUUAAGUAAAACGGUAAUCAAAGAUAUGAAGGAAGACUUGAUUAAAUGGGAGGAAGAAUCUGUUAUUAGACAGUAAAGGUUUUUGUGUUUUGGUUUUUUGUGGUCUGGGGAUCAACUGAGAACCUCACAUGUGCUAGGUAUAUAUUCUACCACUGAGCUACACCCCAGGCCAAGUAUUUUAAAGAUAGCAGCUGUCCCCAGAUUAAUCUUCACACUUAAUAUGGUCCCAAUAAAAAUAUCAACAGAAUUUAUUUUGGAAGUAGAAAACUUGAUUCUGAAUUUCAUAUGAAAAACAAAUACAUAAAAAUAGCUAGGAAAUUCAGAGAAAAAAGGACUGAUCCUACCAGAUUUUUUUUUUUAAGAAUUUAACCUUUAUUUUAUUUAUUUGUUUGUUUAUUUAUUUAUUUAUUUAAUAUUUAUUUUUUUAGUUUUUGGCAGACACAACAUCUUUGUUUGUAUGUGGUGCUGAGGAUCGAACCUGGGCUGCACGCAUGCCAGGCGAGCGCACUACCGCUUGAGCCACAUCCCCAGCCCCUACCAGAUUUUUUUACCUGCUGCCAAGGGUUGAACCCAGUGCCUCACCCGCAACAGGCAAGCGCUCUACAACCCCAGCCCCUACCAGAUUUUAAAACAGUGAUGUGAUGUACAUAGCUAGAAAGGUGCUUCCGGGGAUCAGACGGGAGCACCCAAAAGGUCGAAAACCAUAUGAAUGGUAUUUUUGUAUGUUGUAAACAUAAGGCUCCAAAUGAGUGGGGAAAUGGUGGUAGUGGGGCUGCCAGCUCUCCAUCCUGAAAACAAAACCAGAGCUGUUUGUCUGCCCCCUUCCCGACUCCCAGACCCCUACAGAUCCAAGGUUUAAAUGUAAAAUAAAUGAAAUCUGAUCACUAGAUAAAAGGAGGGAUAUUUCUAGAAUCUUCAAGCAGCAAAGCCUUUCCAAUCAAAGACACAAAACGUAAAGUCAUCAGGUAAAAAGCCCAGAAAUGUUAAUAGUAAGAAAAAAAUGGUGCGUAGUCAAAAGACCACCUGAGAAAAACACCACAGUGCCCAGCAGCCCGAGGCUAAUUUCUUUGAUACGUGAAGGGUUCUACAGAAAUCCCAAUGGAAAACCUUAGGAGAAAACUAAAGUAUUGGGCUGGGGAUGUGGCUCAAGCGGUAGCGCGCUCACCUGGCAUGCGUGCGGCCCGGGUUCGAUUCUCAGCACCACAUACAAACAAAGAUGUUGUGUCCGCCAAAUACUAAAAAAUAAAUGUUGAAAUUCUCUCUCUCUCUACCUCUCUCUCACUCUCUCUUUAUAAAAAAAAAAAAAAAAAAAAAAAACUAAAGUAUGUGAGCUGUACAUUCAUAGAAAAGGAAAUACAGUGAAUUGCCAGGUGGUGGCACACCUGUAGCCUGUAAUCCCAGCAGCUCAGGAGGCUGAGGCAGGAGGAUCACAGGUUCAAAGCCAGCCUCAGCAACUUAGUGAGGCCUUAACCAACUCAGUGAGACCCUGUCUCAAAAUAAAAAUGGCCGGGAAUACAUCUCGGUGGUAAAGUGCCCCGGGUUCAGUCCCUGGUACCAAAAGAAAAAGGAAAAGAAGUACAAUGAAUUGUCAGUAAACAGAAAGGUACACGACCUCAUUUUGUAAAUUAAAUUGACGCUUUGACAGCAUACCUACAAAACAGCGGUGCAGUUAGCCUGUGCAUUACAGCUGAGUGUGAGAACAGUGCCUCCAGCCCAGACACACAGUGCACGGCGUUUGUNACCCUCUCUCCACAGCCUCUUGGAUGAAGUUAGUCUUCCAUCUUGAGGAUACAGUUUCUCUUCAGUGACAGUGAGCAUUAUAUAUAUAUUUACUUUUUUUAUUUCUGAAAGAAAAAAAUAUAUAUAUAUAUAUAUAAAAUCAUUCAAACUGACCAAAUAAGUCUAUAGUGAAAAGUCUUAUUUCUAUCCCAGACUUCUCUCCUAAGAUCCUCAUACUAUCAACUUGAAUUUCCUUCUGGAAAUUUCUAUGCAUAACUAGCACAGUUUCCUUUCUUUUUUUCUUUUUUUUUAAACAAGAAUAAGCAUAGAGCAUGCUUUCUGUUCAACACCUUGUGCCAGUGUGUCUCAGAUAGUGUCUCAGGUAAAUACAGAUCAGAAUAUACAGCUCUACCAAGGUCUCUUGCACAGCUGAAUGAUAUUUCAUUGACUAAAUACUUGCAAUUUUAAAAUUACUUAUUAAAUAAGAGAUAUGACAGACCUUUUCUAAAAUAGAUACUGAUGCACCACCACCUAGUUUAAGAAAAUAAAAUGUUGCUAGUACUUGGGAACACACCACCCCAACUUGGCAUAAUUUGUUUAACCCACUUCCAGUGACAUUUAGGUUGCUUUGGUCACACUAUUAGAAACACUCCAGUUGAAUUUCCUCAUACUGUAUGCUUUUGCUUUCAUUAGCAAAACUGUCAGUAGUAAUUUUUUUAAUAUUUAUUUUUUAGUUAUAGGUGGACACAAUAUCUUUAUUUUAUUUUUAUGUGGGGCUGAGGAUUGAACCCGGUGCCUCAUGCAUGGUAGGCGAGCGCUCUACCUCUGAGCCACAACCCCAGCCCCUGUCAGUAGUAAAUUUUUAGGAGUGAAAUUUUGGGGCCAUAAACAAUAUGUUUUUUUAAGGUUUAAAAAUUUUUGUAUAGGUAAUAGACUACUCAAAAAUUUUUUUAAAAUUCAGAAAAAUAUAAGAAGUUCAUUCUCAGUCUCCCUUGGGCCUAGCUGUCAUCUCCUAUCCACAACCCCCAUCAACAUUUAAUGAUUUUGCAUUAUAAUAUGUCUCUCUUGAGUGUGUUUGUGUAAAUACAGGCAAGUGCAUCUCCCCUGUUGGUUUCAUAUAAGCAUUGAUCUAUAACUUGAUCUUAUACAACAAUAUAAUAGCAUUCUAUAACCCUGUAUUCUUUGAAUAAUGCUGCAAAGUGUAUUGUUAGAGUGCACGUGAUUUAGUUAACCAGCUCCUCUUGGAGAACACUUGGGUUGUUUCCAGAAUUCUGCUGUUAUGAACAAUAGUAUAGCCUGUUUAUGAGCAUUCGAAAUUUUAAUAUGUAAAUUUAUGUAAACGAGUGAUUUUCCUCCAGUGAGAUCACACCAUCUUAUGCUUUUACCAACAAUAUGUAAGAAUGGCUCUUCCCCAGCUCCACCCAGGCUAAUAUGAUAUAAUCAAAAUUGUUAUCUUUGGGGGGCUGGGGAUGUGGCUCAGGGGCAGAGCACUUGCCUAGCACCUGUGAGGCACUGAGUUCGAUCCUCAGCACCACACAAAAAUAAACAAAUAAACUAAGGCAUGCUGUCUAUCUACAACUAUAAAAAACAUUUUUUAAAAAUCUCAUCUUUGCCAUUCUAAAAUGGAAAAAAAAACAGUAUUUUGCUGUAUUGCAAAGAUUAAUCUGUUAGGAUAUUUAUUAUUACUAUUUACCAUAUUAAUGGAUCACAGGAGAGAAACCACAUAAUUAUCUCCAGAGAUUCUGAAAAGGCAUGUAUAAAACUCAGCAUCCAUUCAGAUUAACAAAACAAGCUGUCAGUAAAAUUAAAAUGAUUGAAUACCUCCUUACCAUGAUAAAAAAUACAUUUGAAGUCAAAAGCCAGCAGCUUAUUUAACGAUGAACCUAGAACUGUUCCCAUUGAAGUCAGGAGGGAGACAUAGUUGUCAGUGUCAUCAUUAUGAGGCAUUAUUCUGGAAUUCUAGCCAAUGCCAGUCAAGAGAAAGAAAUAGUGUACAUGCCAGGCGUGUGGUGCACACCUGUAAUCCCAGGGACUCAGGAGGCUGCACUGGGAUCCUCCUGUCUCAGUCUCCUGAGUCUCGGGAUACAGACGUGUGCCACCAUACCCAUGAUUGAUAGAACUCUUAAGCACGUACUGUUCAUGUACUCAGUACAACUUUAAGGCCAGCCUCAGCAACUUAACAAGUCCUAAGCAACUUAGUGAGACCCUAUCUCAAAAUAGCAAAAACUAAAAGAGCUGCAGAUAUAGCUGGUGGUAAAGCACCCCUGGGUUCAAUUCCAAGUACCAAAAACAAAGAAGAAAGAAAACCAAAUAUACAAAGAAGAAAGAGGUAGUUAGUUAAUCAUUAUUUGCAGAUGACUUGAUUGUAUACCUGGAAUAUUUACCUGAAAACCAAGGAAAUGCAUAGGCAGAGAAUUGAGAAAAGUCGGAAAUCGCAGUGAAAUGCGUAAGAAUCCAGAGCUUGCCUGUGGGCUGGGCUGUGGCUCAGUGGAGGAGCGCUCGCCUAGCACUGGGUUCCAUCCUCAGCACCACAUGAAAAAUAAAUAUAUAAACAAAUAAAAUGAUUUUUAAAAAGAGCUUAUCUGUAUGCAGGAAUAAGCAAUUGGGAAAUGCAGUGGAAGAAAUUACCCUAUUACAACAGCAGCUAAAAAGAUGAACUACCAGGCUGGGGUAUAGCUCAGUUGGUAGAGUGCUUGCCUUGCACACACAAGGCCCUGGGUUCAAUCCCCAGCACCACAGGAAAAAAAAAAAAAGAUAAACUACCUAGGCACAGUCCUAAUAGGAACUAUGUAGGAACAAUGUUAAGUAAAACGGUAAUCAAAGAUAUGAAGGAAGACUUGAUUAAAUGGGAGGAAGAAUCUGUUAUUAGACAGUAAAGGUUUUUGUGUUUUGGUUUUUUGUGGUCUGGGGAUCAACUGAGAACCUCACAUGUGCUAGGUAUAUAUUCUACCACUGAGCUACACCCCAGGCCAAGUAUUUUAAAGAUAGCAGCUGUCCCCAGAUUAAUCUUCACACUUAAUAUGGUCCCAAUAAAAAUAUCAACAGAAUUUAUUUUGGAAGUAGAAAACUUGAUUCUGAAUUUCAUAUGAAAAACAAAUACAUAAAAAUAGCUAGGAAAUUCAGAGAAAAAAGGACUGAUCCUACCAGAUUUUUUUUUUUAAGAAUUUAACCUUUAUUUUAUUUAUUUGUUUGUUUAUUUAUUUAUUUAUUUAAUAUUUAUUUUUUUAGUUUUUGGCAGACACAACAUCUUUGUUUGUAUGUGGUGCUGAGGAUCGAACCUGGGCUGCACGCAUGCCAGGCGAGCGCACUACCGCUUGAGCCACAUCCCCAGCCCCUACCAGAUUUUUUUACCUGCUGCCAAGGGUUGAACCCAGUGCCUCACCCGCAACAGGCAAGCGCUCUACAACCCCAGCCCCUACCAGAUUUUAAAACAGUGAUGUGAUGUACAUAGCUAGAAAGGUGCUUCCGGGGAUCAGACGGGAGCACCCAAAAGGUCGAAAACCAUAUGAAUGGUAUUUUUGUAUGUUGUAAACAUAAGGCUCCAAAUGAGUGGGGAAAUGGUGGUAGUGGGGCUGCCAGCUCUCCAUCCUGAAAACAAAACCAGAGCUGUUUGUCUGCCCCCUUCCCGACUCCCAGACCCCUACAGAUCCAAGGUUUAAAUGUAAAAUAAAUGAAAUCUGAUCACUAGAUAAAAGGAGGGAUAUUUCUAGAAUCUUCAAGCAGCAAAGCCUUUCCAAUCAAAGACACAAAACAUAAAGUCAUCAGGUAAAAAGCCCAGAAAUGUUAAUAGUAAGAAAAAAAUGGUGCGUAGUCAAAAGACCACCUGAGAAAAACACCACAGUGCCCAGCAGCCCGAGGCUAAUUUCUUUGAUACGUGAAGGGUUCUACAGAAAUCCCAAUGGAAAACCUUAGGAGAAAACUAAAGUAUGUGAGCUGUACAUUCAUAGAAAAGGAAAUACAGUGAAUUGCCAGGUGGUGGCACACCUGUAGCCUGUAAUCCCAGCAGCUCAGGAGGCUGAGGCAGGAGGAUCACAGGUUCAAAGCCAGCCUCAGCAACUUAGUGAGGCCUUAACCAACUCAGUGAGACCCUGUCUCAAAAUAAAAAGGGCCGGGAAUACGUCUCGGUGGUAAAGUGCCCCAGGUUCAGUCCCUGGUACCAAAAGAAAAAGGAAAAGAAGUACAAUGAAUUGUCAGUAAACAGAAAGGUACACGACCUCAUUUUGUAAAUUAAAUUGACGCUUUGACAGCAUACCUACAAAACAGCGGUGCAGUUAGCCUGUGCAUUACAGCUGAGUGUGAGAACAGUGCCUCCAGCCCAGACACACAGUGCACGGCGUUUGUGCAGAGGUCUUCAUGCAGCAUUGUUCACAGCAGCAAGAGGCUGGACGUGGUCUCAAGCACCAUCAUUUGCACACUGGUUAAGUCAGCCGUGGUGCAUCUCCACUAAAGAGUACUAAACAACCUUGUAAAGCACAGCGUGUCUGUGUGAGACCAUCUCUGAAACCUGUGCGCAGAGGGGAAGGCACUGUGGAUGGCAGGGGAGAGACAUAGUGUGUGUGUGUGUGUGUGUGUGUGUGUGUACACGCGCAGAGUAUUUUCUGGAAGGAUUACGACAGUCUGGUAGCUGGUAAUGCACUGCAUCUGGGGAAGGAAGGACACAUUUCAUUGUAUUCUCUGAGUGGUUGGAAUUUUUACUGGUGUGGUAUCUAACUUUUCAAAUAAAAAAAAAGCCAUUGGGCUGAGGUUGUAGCUCAAUAGUAGAGAGAGCUCUCCCUUGCACACGUGAGGCCCUGGGUUGGAUCCUCAGCACCACAGAAAAAUAAGUAAAUAAAGUAAAGGUAUUGUGUCCACCUCCAAUGAAAAAUAAAUAUGUUAAAAACAUCAAGGAGAAAAGCUCAUGAAAAUGGCACCUUGUUAUACAUUUUGUUUUUAGAGUAACAACAUUCAUUUAUUAGUGUUUACAUGUGAUUUGCAUUUACUUUUAUGUGAAAUACCUUUUCUGUCCUUAUCCAGUUUUCUUUUGGAUCAUUACUCUUCAUUAGCAAGUUAGAGCUUUUAACAUAAUAAGAAACCUUAACCCUUGACCAGCGUAACCCAACAGAGCCCUCAGGCUAGGAGGGCAGCAACGGCUCUCCACUGCCCCCUUGUGGCAGGAUGCAUUGCCCACUGGGCAAUGAACCUUCUGGAAGGGAAGAUCAGCCUCCCUCCUGCUCUUUACUGGUUCAUAUCCUUCAGUCUGAAUAAACCCCCAGAGCCUCCCACCCCACUUCUGGGGAUUGAACCCAGGGGCACUCUACCACUGAGCCACAUCCCCAGCACUGUUUAUUUUUUUAUUUUGAGACAAGGUCUCACUGAAUUGCUGAGGCUGGCCUCAAACUUGUGAUCUUCUGCCUCAGCCUCUUGAGUCACUAGAAUUAUAGUGUACAGCACCAUGCCCAGCAGAACUCAUUUCCUUUAAAUUCAUUCCUUUAAUUUCUUUAUGUAAUAGGUUCAGUGUUUUUCCUUCUUUUUUUUUCCCCUCAACCACUGAGCCACAUCCCUAGCCCUUUAUUAUUAUUAUUAUUAUUAUUAUUAUUAUUAUUAUUAUUAUUAUUAUUAUUUUCUUAUUUAGAGACAGGGUCUCACUGAGUUGCUCAGGGCCUCCCUAAGUUUCUGAGGCUGGCUUUGCACUUGUGAUCCUCCUGCCUCAGCCUCCUGAGACACUGGGAUUACAUGCAUGCACUACCGUGCCCUGCUUUUCCUCUUUAUCUUCUAUGAAAUCCUUUCUGAAACUCCGUGGCUCAUUCAUUCAAAACACAAGGACUUAUUAUCAACUAAAUUGAGAAUGUGAAGAAUUGCUGCCCCAAGUGUGCAGGAUGUGUGACCGUAACACAGAGUUGGAAUGUGCCGUAUGGAGGGACAUGCAGUGUGCCAUGGGGACACAGGAUAUUGCUGCCAGCUCCUCCUGGGAAAUCAAGGCAGGUGGCUUAUAGGACAGGAAACGCUAAUGUAGUAGCCACGUUUUCUCAGCGUCUCAUGCAGUAAUAUACUUUGCUUCCUUCUCAUAUGAAUUGAGCUGGGUCCUCCGUUUCCUUUCUCUCUUGAUGACCUCAGCCAGCUGCUCGUAUCUAAAUGCCAUAGAGCACUACACACACACCUCUAGCCCAGACCUUCUCACACCCCAGAUUCCUCCAUCCAGCUGUUCACGUGUCCCUUCGACUUGGAUUGGCCUCCCCGACAUGACAUGUUCAAAGCACAGAUCUUGAUUUUUGCUUUCUUAACCUCCUUCCCUCCAGCCUUUCCCAUCUUACUAAAUAUCAGGUGUUUCCCGUCUUAGUGAAUAUCAAUCCAGCUGUUCAAGCCAAAAACCCAAGGAUCACCUUUUCCUCUGUGCCCUUCACCUCCUUCAACCAAAUUAUCCUUUGACUUCUAUCCCAAGUCUCCUGCUCUUCUUCCUACCUCUAGUGUAGCAUUCUCUCACCUGGAUCACAUCUGGUCUCUCUGCGGUAUUCACUCAACACAUACCUACAGAGGUCCUUCUGCUAGAAUAGGAGCCAGAUGGUGACCAGCAGUCACCUAAGUAGAAGUAUGAGAUCUUGUGUCUCCUAGGGGUCACAGAGAGCUGGAGUUCAGAGGGCAGUGAGGAUCUGUGGAGGUAGGACUAGAUUUAGGGAGCGGGAUGGCCCCCAAAGAAAUGAUCCCUGAGCUGAGACCCUAAGGGUAACCCAGAAGAAGGUUCUAGGCAAAGGCUACGGUACAGUUGGCUUUCCGUAUCCACAGGUUCUGCACGCGUCUGUUCAACCAAGUGUGGAAUGAAAUGUUUUUAAAUCUGCUGAUUAUGUAAUUCGAGUCUGUCUCUGUACUAACCACAGCCAGACUUCCACUUCCUGCCGCCCUCCCUGCACCGGGCAGUGUAGCACCUGCUCCCACAGCGCUUACACUGUGUCAGCUGGGGUAGGUGACCUGGGAGGACACCCAGGGACUUGAGCAGCCUCAGAUCUCGGUUCUGCAGAGGUCCUGGGGCAGUGCCCCGUGGACACUGGAGGUGGCUGUCCUCAGCCGUCCUGUGGUAGGAGGAGACAGGGGGGAGGCCCGUGUGGACGAGGACAGAGGCCCUCUGAGGCCCCUAGGGCUGGCCUUGAGGUCAGUGCCCUUACCACAGGAGCCCUGGAGGGCCACUGCAGGUCUCGAGGGUCACUUUUUCUGUCCCACACUUUGGCCUGCUUUCCCAGCUUUUGUCUACCAGAUUUCCUGUCCCACUCUGAGAGGACCACUUGGGACCUUUGCCUCUGAUUCCCACCAACACCCCGGUCCUCGCUCUGAACUGAUACUCUUACAUCCCACGUCAGGAAACCACGGUCGUCAUGUAAGAGAGGCCGGUCUUAAUCCCCUGACCUCCCUCCCUCCUCCGAACCUCACUCUACCCCUAGGCACAAGGGAAGCGCCUUCCGCCUCCCCUUGAGUCCUGCGUGCCCUCCCUCUUGUCUGUUCUGGGGCUUCCUGCUUCUCCCCUCGUCAUCGGUGGUCCUUGCCAUCAGCCUGGAAACACGGCCGACCUGUGGACACCUUCCCUUGACCUGGGUCUCCCUCCAGGAACACCCUGGGUCUCCGCUCCUUCACAGCCAAGCCUCUCAGGACAGUCACCCAUGCUAAAAAGGCUGACCACCAGCCACAUGAGGUUAUUGAGCACUUAAAUGUGCCAGCUUGAUCAAGGGACUGAAUUAUUAUAUUUAAUUUUGAUUAAUAGCCUCGUGUGGCUACCAUAGUGGAUAGCCAAUUCCAAAGGAUUCAAAUUACAUAAUUAACAAACUCAGUCAUUCUCAUAUGUGUGCGUGCGCAUAAUACAUGUACAUAUAUGUAUAUAUACACGUGUGCAUGUAUGUAUGCAGGUGUCACACAUAUAAAACUGUGUCUAAGAGUUCGUAUUUUUAGAAGUAGUUGGACACAAUACCUUUAUUUUAUUAAUUUAUUUUUAUGUGGUGCUGAGGAUCGAACCCAGUGCCUCACACAUGCUAGGCAAGUGCUCUACCACCGAUCCACAGCCCCAGCCCGAGUUCAUAUUCUUUUCAAAGGCAGAACAGUCAUGAGAUCCUCCUGGACCCCUGGCAGUUCGUUCCCUACUCCCCAACCUCUCUUCAUGCCUCAGUCUCUCUCAUUCUGAACUUGGCCCGCCGGCCAGGAGGGACCAGCUGCUUAGGACAACCAAAGAAGAGUGGGACUCUCCGUGUGCUUGGACAUGGAGACCAGUUUCUUCUACAGCUGGAGCCGAUGCAUCCAGAACCGCAGCCUCUGUGCUGCCCAGUUCUGUUUCCAAGCGGUGGAUUCAGAUCUGGUUGAAAGCUGGGGUCUUGACACUUGUCUGCUGGGUUUCCCGGCUGCUCUGCUCUGUCAUGCCCUCCCUCUGGGAUUGCAGAAAUCCCCAGGAAGGGUGGGGGCCACUGCCUGCUGGGCUCGUGCCUCCUCUAUCAUCGGAGCCCAGGGCCCAGCCCAGGUCCACGUCCCUGCCCCACUGUUCAUCUUGGGCCCAGCAGAAAUCCACAGAUGACUCCCCAAGAAAGCUUGGCUCCCCAGCCUAAUGCUGUGCUUGUGGAUAUGCUCUCUCCAGGCUGACCCUUGUGAGGUGGUCAGGAACGGAGGGGACACUGGGAUUGGGUACUUUAAAAUCAGACAGUGUUAAGUAAGUGAUUCAAGUGGGGAGAGAGAUCUUGGCUUCUCAUUUCUGCUUAAGAAGAAAGUCUAAAUUCCGUGUUAGUAGUUCUUUAAACCCUCUUAUUACUCCCUAAUCUUCCUUUCUAGUAAAGGCAGGCUGGCUGGAGUCUUUGCAGAUAAUAGUACAGUAUCUAGUCGGAAUUAGUCUUAUGAUUUUAUCACAUUCGGCUUUAUAGCCACCUUCAAUUUAUGGCAAAUGGCACCGGUGUUCCCUUUGAGCACUGUGAAAUUUCCUUUUUAAGUGUGUCGAGCACAAUGGCACACGUAAUCCCAUCCACUCAGGAGGCUGAGGCGAAAGGAUCACAAGUUCAAAGCCAGCCUGGGCAGCUUAGCUGAAAGUAAAAAGUUGAAGAGUCUAGGAUAUAGCUCAGUGGUGGAGUGGCCCUGGGUUCGAUCCCCAGUACCACCAGCACCCCCCCCCAACAACAACAAAAAAAAAAGUAUGUGUAUUUUUUUUUAAUAUUUAUUUUUUAGGUGCAGAUCGACACAACACAAUGCCUUUAUUUUUUAAUGUGGUGCUGAGGCUCGAACCCAGGUCCCGCCCGUGCUAGGCGAGUGCUGUAUCGCUGAGCCACAGUCGCAGCCCCUAAAAGUUAACAUCUUUAUAUAUAUAUAAACAAUGUGUGUGCAUUUUUAAAGAAUCAGUGUAGAGAAAACACUCAUGGUCCUCCACGGGACAUCUGGAGCUAGCAAAAGUCAUGUUGCGAUUCAUGAAUGACCAAACUCCGGGAAAUGCUGCCUUAGUAACAUCUGUCAGAAUGGACGGGUCCGGAUGUCUGCUAGGCGGGCCACGCUGAAAGCCAGCCCAGCCCUUUCUGCAACAGCGUCCAAGUCUUGGUUUGUCUGUGUCCCGCUUCUCGCUUCUCGUCCCAAAGGUUCAUUUACCAAGCGAAAGUCGGGGGCCGCUGGUUUCCAGCCGUCUGCGCGCACAGCAAGAAGCAAGGCAAGCAGGAAGCAGCCGAUGCGGCCCUCCGCGUCCUGAUUGGGGAGAGCGAGAAGGCAGAGCGCAUGGGUUUCACAGAGGUAACCCCAGUGACAGGGGCCAGUCUCAGAAGAACUAUGCUCCUCCUCUCCAGGUCCCCAGAAGCGCAGCCAAAGACAGUUAAGACGUCUACUUUUGGUGCUAUCUUUUUGUUUUGGGGGUGGAGCUGGCUUGUCACUAGCUGUCAUGUGAAUUGUCCCUUGGCUAUGCUACUAGCCUCAAUAGAGCAUAUAACUGGGACACUAGAUGUGAAAGGGGAAAGAAAGGUGGUGCACGAGUCCAUUAGCACGUGACCCCCUGCCCACUGUGAAGCAUGGUGGACGCGGGCGUGGCUGCAUGACCCUCACAGCCCCCUGUCCCCACAGCUUCCUCUCACUGGCAGUACCUUCCACGACCAGAUAGCGAUGCUGAGCCACCGGUGCUUCAACACCCUCACAAACAGUUUCCAGCCCUCCCUGCUCGGCCGCAAAAUCCUAGCCGCCAUCAUUAUGAAGAAAGACCCUGAGGACAUGGGUGUCGUGGUCAGCUUGGGGACAGGUGAGAGAGGGUCUCCCCAGCCACCAGCCUCUCAGUGACUGGAAGCAGGUCUUCCUCACCCUCCCCUGAGUCCAUGUGAGCAAGUCCAAGCCCGGGGACCAGGCCGCGCGUCCCCUUGUCCUGACAUGGAUCUUAAAAAGCUCUGGAUUUUGGCCAGGUGCCAGGGUGCCUUUAAUGCCACCCACUCAGGAGGCUGCGGCAGGGUGAUGGAGAAUUCAGAGCCAGCUCAGCAACUGAGCAAGACCUAAGCAACAGCAAGACCCUGCCUCUCAAAAAAUACUGCCGAGGGCUGGGCAUGUGGCUCAGGGGCUAAGUGCCCACGGGUUCAAUCCCCAGUACACCCCCUCAAAAAAAAGCUUUGCAUUUUGGAACACUUCAGAUUUCCACAUUAGGGAUGCUCAACUAGCAGACUCCAUGCAAAUAUUCCAAAAUCUGAACAACUCCAGACUCUGAAACACUGUGGUCCUGAGCACUUGGGUAAAGGACACUCACCUGCGUGUCAUUUAGCUGCAGUCAGCUCAGGGUGGGGGUGGACUCCUUCUCCCUAGGUAAGAGGAUGACUGUCCAGGCUGUUCUCCGCGAGCCUGAAGACAGACUGCCCCACCCACUUCACCCUCCUUCUCCUUUGACUUUUCCCUUUUUCUCCCAAUCCUUCAGGGAAUCGCUGUGUCAAAGGAGACUCCCUCAGCCUCAAGGGAGAGACCGUCAACGACUGUCAUGCGGAGAUCAUCUCCCGAAGAGGCUUCAUCAGGUGAGCGAGCACCUGCCGGGGCUGCCCCCGCCCACCUGGGCACAGUGGCUCCGGCACAGGCCUUCCUGACACCCCGGCAGACGGCAGGUCCCUGAGCCAGCAGUGGUGGCCUUCGGGUUUAUCCUGUGAUCUGAGCCCUCGUAGAGCCAGUCCCCUCUGUGACCCUCUGCCUCCCACCCCCAGCCUGGUCCUAAGACCUUUUUUCUGCCAACUCUGCUGUCUUCUGUUUCUCAAAACAAAGUGACCCUGGGUCCUCGGGCCUUGGGGAUGAGGCGGCCUCCAUCUCCAUUUGAGGACCCAUCAGCACCUCGUGUCGCCGCGGCUUCUCCUCUGGUUCACCUUUUCUCUAAUUUGUGAAGGGAGCGGGGAAGAGGCAGCUGCCUCCCGAAGCCUUGAGCCAGUUCCUUCUGCCUGGAGUCCCUGCAGCCGCCACAGCAAGGGGCCUUUGGCGGAAAUGAAACGGACCGAAAGGCUCACUGUGCUUUAUGAAAUGCUGAGGUCUCUCUGGGAAGCUUCCCCACCUGAGAAGCUAGAAGAGCUGCACCAGGAAACUUGUCCCCACUUGGGGCUCAGAUAGGGGUCAGCUCCAAGCACCAUCUGCUCUCGCCAGAAUCCAGCCUGCCGUCCUAACUGCACGUCUUUUACAGGUUCCUUUACAGUGAGUUAAUGAAAUACAACCCCCAGACUGCGAAGGACAGUAUAUUUGAGCUUGCCAGGGGAGGAGAGAAGCUCCAGAUAAAAAAGACUGUUUCGUUCCACCUGUACAUCAGGUCUGUACCCUGCCGGGCUCCCAGGAUGGGCUUCCACCUGCUCUGCCGGCCCCUAAAUCUGACCCCACGCAACAGGCCACACGCUCCACUGAGGUACCAUGAGGUACAUUCCCCAGUGGAGGAUGACUGUCCUAGACACAGCUGCCCCCUCCAGCAUCCCCUGGUGGGCUCCAGGAAACAUCCCAGCUCCAGCCGCAGCAGACUAGGGACCCCGAGAAGUUGGAGUUCCCUCCUGCGCAGGUGAGUGACGGACACCCCUGUGUUGCAGCACUGCCCCGUGUGGAGACGGCGCCCUCUUCGACAAGUCCUGCAGUGACCGCGCCCUGGAAAGCACAGAUUCCCGCCACUACCCUGUCUUUGAGAAUCCCAAACAAGGCAAGCUGCGCACCAAGGUGGAGAAUGGUGAGUGCCACACAGGCUCUGCGAGACCCCCGUGUGCGCCACUCGUCACGGGGGAGGACUGUAGGGAGGGGAAGUUCCAUUCUGAAUCUGUUAGCUCAGGUGAUGAGAGCCUGGGGGGGAAGAAAGGACAGAGCGUGUCCUCCUGGGGUCUCCACGGCCGGCACAGGCAGAGUGCGGGGGGAGGGCGGCGGAAGUGAAAAGUCAGGCCCUCCGUCUGGUGGCCUCGGACCUGGCCUCCUGCCCCCUCGCGCCUUCCUGCCUGUCCCCCAGCAUCUCCUUCUCCUCCGGUCACCCCUGCUCCCUUCAUGCUUCAGCAGUCGUCUGCGUCACUGUCAAGCCCAAGUCAGGUCACGUCAGUUCCCUGCUGGCCACCCUGAAGUCUGGACAGCACCACGUGGCCCAGCAGUCCUCCUGGGCUAUCCCCAGGAGAAGUGAAAGCCCAGGUCCACACAGAGCUAGUUCGGGCGCCUUCACAGCAGCCGGGCAGGGGACACGGCCAGCGCCCUCCCCUCCAUGACAGAAAAGUAAAACCGCCACAUCCAUGCGAGGGACUGUCCUUGGCCAUGACAUGAAGUAAGCAUUGACCCAGCUACAGUGAGGUCACCCUGAAAACGUCAUGCUAAGCGCAAAAAGCCCCAAAAGAUCACGUGGUGUGACUCCAUUUCUAUGAAAUAUCCAGAAUAAAUGAGUUCUACAGACAGGAAGUGCCUGAGAGGCUGCCCGGAUGAGGGACGGAGGGAGGUGGGAGUGAGAGCCAGCCGAGGUCGGGUUGGGGUUGAUCGUGCCGAUGUAUAAUCCCAUGGUGCAUAACCUCAGAAACGCCAAAAACCACUGAACAGCUUGCUUUCAAUGGCGAGUUGUAGUAUACGACUUGUAUCUCAGUAAAGCUGGUAUUUUUUAAAAAAACGCAAGCACCAUGUAGGGUCUCCCACUGCCCUUGAUACGAAGGCAACCUGAGCCAGGCACAGUGGCCCAGGCCUGCAAUCCCAGCAGCUCCGGAGGCUGAGGCAGGAGGAUCACGAGUUCAAAGCCAGCCUUAGCGAGGCCCAGAGCAACUCAGCAAGACCCUGUCUGUACUGAAAGCCCACCUCCCGGCCUCAGCCUGCCCAGUCUUCUCUUUGGUGAUUCUCUGGUGCCCCCGAAACACCGAAACCCUCGCUGCCUCAGGCCGUGGCUUCUGCCGCUCGCUCCCUGUCUGAAUGGGUUAGGACUCUUCUCCCUCCAGCUGCUCCCUGCCUCCUCCACCCAGGAGCUCGCGGUGCCGUCCCCCCGGCUCUCCCACAGGCCUUCCCCACGCUGUCAGCAUCUGGAGUUCCCACCUGCUCACUGGUGCAUCUGCUUAGUGCUCUCCUUUCCCUUUCUGUCCCUCACCCCUGAACACCGCGGGACAGCACGGACCUCACUGAGGUCUGCUCCCCAGUGUUUCCCAGCUCCCAGCACAGUGACCGCCGUGUCCUCCAGGACUGUGAGCCACAUGGAGAAUGAAGGGCCGAGCUGCCGGUGGCCCGGCCUCAGGAGCUCAAGUCCCGCGCUAGGGGUGGUUUGGUGGCCUCUGUGGAUCUGACCCGAGUCUCUCACACAGGGGAAGGCACCAUCCCUGUGGAGUCCAGUGACAUUGUGCCUACGUGGGAUGGCAUCCGGCUUGGGGAGAGACUCCGCACCAUGUCCUGUAGUGACAAAAUCCUACGCUGGAACGUGCUGGGCCUGCAAGGGGCACUGCUGACCCACUUCCUACACCCUGUGUAUCUCAAAUCUGUCACACUGGGUAAGGGACCUGCCUUGGGAGUUGGAACCCACCUGUCCUUCUCCACCCCAGUCCCAGAAAACUUCAUGCUUCAGUCAACCCACUUUCCACAGUGAGCUCAGCCCCGUCGUCAGCAGGGGGUGCCGGCCUGCACAGGCCGGAGGGUGGCCAGGAGGCCGAGGAGGGGGGCCAGGCCAGUCUCCAAGACGGGUCGGAGAAACGCGGCAGAUGGCAGCAGCAGCAUCUGGUUUUCCUUGUUCUCCUCAGUCCUUGGCCUUACCCGAAACAUUCCGUUUUGUGCUUCAAUAUUUGAUGAUCCUGUGUGUCCUGUGCUGCCACAGUUAGAGGCCCUGCCUGUCAGGGGCUCUCUGUCCUGACAAUUCUGCCUUAUACCUUCCAGCCCCCGGGGGCCUCAGCUUCUCCAUAGCUUUGGUGAACACAGAUGUAUGGGUUUUUGUUUCUGUUUUUACUUUCUUUUUUAUACCCAGGGUACCUUUUCAGCCAAGGACAUCUGACCCGGGCUAUCUGCUGUCGUGUGACAAGAGACGGGAGUGCGUUUGAGGCUGGAUUACGAUACCCCUUUGUUGUCAACCACCCGAAGGUCUGUGCCCCUGUCCUGUUCCCCUUUUCAAGCAUUCCCAUCAGCAGAGCAGAAAUAUGGUCAAGGGAGCCAUGGUUGGUGUCCUCUGGAGGCCAAGGGCUUUCCUCCUCUAGCCUGACACGAUCUGAAUCGAGGUGGAGAGUACUUCUAGAGUGUGCUCCGGUGUAACCAAGCCAUGUUAAAUCAAGGGGGAGACGGUGGCCCACCUCCCUCUUCCCCAUGAUUCGGGAGUCCCUGCUCCCAGAACUUAGCCCUGAAUGGUGUCCACCUCUCUCUCUUCACUCCUGGGACUCCCAGGUGGGCCGAGUCAGUGUGUAUGACUCCAAGAGGCAAUCCGGGAAGACUAAGGAGACGAGCGUCAACUGGUGUUUGGCUGACGGCUUCGACCUGGAGAUCCUGGAUGGUACCAGGGGCACCGUGGACGGGUAAGGAAGGGGGAGGGUGCAGGGCAAGCAGGAUCCUCUCCAGAGCUAGGGCCACGUCCCACCACGGGUGUCCCCAGUGGCUCCCACUCCCCUGUCCCAGGUGAAUAACCAGUGCCUUUGUUUCCCCAGGCCACGAAAUGAAUUGUCGCGGGUAUCGAAAAAGAACAUUUUUCUUCUGUUUAAGAAGCUCUGCUCCUUCCGGUACCGCAGGGACUUACUGAAACUCUCCUACGGUGAGGCCAAGAAAGCCGCCCGCGACUAUGAGAUAAACAAGAACUACUUCAAAAAGAGCCUCAAGGACAUGGGUUACGGAAACUGGAUAAGCAAACCCCAGGAGGAGAAGAACUUCUAUCUCUGCCCCGUACCCAACGACUGAGGCUGGGGGUUGGCGGGGAGGGGGGGGGUCCUGGCAUUCCUCAUCACAUUGGCCUAGGGUGGGGGGGGGUUAACCCCCACCUUUUUUUUUUUAAUGGAACCAUAAUUAGAGAUACUGAGAACUUUGGGUUCCCUUUAUCCUGCUUUCUUUGGGGUUUCUAGGCAGAAUCUGGCCAGGCCCCUUCUCUUACUUCAAGUGAGAGGCAGAGACCUACAGGCAGAGAAAGGGGUUGACCUUUCCACCCAGAGCAUAAGCAGUCACCCAGCCCCUGUGGCCCAUCUCCUCCUGAGCUUUGUUUUCCCGUUUCCUUUUUGUGGGUGUGUUUCUACACUGACCUCUCGUGGACUUGAUCAGGUUCCAGUCAGUUCUCUGUGAACCGUGUCAGGGACCAAGGAUCUCGUUUAUGGAUCCCACAGGCCCCUCUAUUUCCCACCCCCGGCUUCUGAGAUUCUUACCUGUGAUCACUGAGUCUCUCCUCCCACCCUGGAGGGUAAAGAGGUGGACUUCAGGAAUUAGGUGAAAUAUUUACAAGGGUAGGAACUGAAGACUACGGCGGAUUAACUACCAGUGCCAAUGGAAGUGGGACUGGAAUCUGCGAACCCUGCUCAGCAGUGGGAACCUGCACUGUGUCCAGGAAAAAGCCGCUGCUGGCGAAGCGCAUCCCUUCCCGGGGCAGCAGGAAGUUGAGAACCAGCAGACGGGCUAGGAAGUUACCCACGCCGUAGGCGGUCCCCCCUGCAGAGUGACACAGACCACUACCAGGGGCACAGACAGACGUUCCUUGGGCUAUUGCCAAGCUCCCAUCUGCCCAUAAGCCCAUAGACCCCAGUAAACUAGUGUGAAAAACUUCAGGACAAUUCUUAGAGGGUAAAUCGUCUGCUCAGAUAGUUAGGACUUAGCAAGAAUAGGGCAGAAAUCAUGUUGGGACAAAUCGUUGUUCUGUGCAGUUCAAUAUUUCUCAGCACUGAUCCAAGGAAAGUUGACUAAACCCAGUAGAAUUAGGGCUCUUUUAAAGAAUGCCAGAGACGUUGGUUCUCAACCGCAGUCGCACAGAUUUAAAAUGCAGAUGGCCUUUUCCAUCCAUCCCAGGGCCUCAUCGUGUCAGAUGGCUCUGGGACUGGCAGAUGAUUUCCCACACUCCUGCCUCCCACCCGCAAACUGCUUCCCCACCUGGUCUGGCCCACCUCUUCAGUAGUGGAUAUGUCUGUGUUUGCACUUUGAUCUCUCUGGCUACUUUCUGUACCUGUGACCAAAAACUGAAUGAAAUAAUAAUGCAGGUUUUAAAAAAGACACUAAGGAUGUCUUUGUGGGACACUGAAGCAUCCCAAGGGAACUGGUGGGGAAAUGGGGCCUGUCUCUGGGGGAGAAGGGGCCGGGGCUUUGUGAGUAUUGCCAAGCUUGGGGUAUUAGCUGAAGGCAUGUGACUUCAGUGCUGACCUGCGGAGUGACAGUGCUCACUGUGUGGGGGCAGGGUGAUCUUGUGGCUCCGGGACAGGUCCUCCCGGCUGGAGGAUGACUACCUACCAGUUCCUCAGGAUGUCUGGCAGCUUUGGUCUGCCUUGGGCAUUAGAAUCUCUGGCAGAGAUCUGACUCAGCAGUCCCCCACCCCAUCACUGGGAGCACAGGGGCUCUCAAGAGAUCAGAGCCCCACUCGCCCCCAGGAUCUUAUCUAGCAAACUUGUCAUAUCCAGUUUCUGCUGUAAGAAGAAAGCGAGAAGCACCCCUGCCCUCCACACCCUGCUGGAAUUGAGCCGUGUCAGGCCCCGCCCCCCCCGUGUCCCAGGCCCCGCCCCUCAGAGUCACACAGGAGGGGUGGGGGGCAGAGCAUCCCCCCUGUGUUCACUUCUGUCCAAUCUUUGUUUUAACAAGCAAGACCCCUCCCUCCUUUCUUUAAUGGUUUUUUGUAGUUGAUUUGUCUGAACUGUGGCUGUUGUGCAUUAUCUUUGAAUAAUCACUUGUAAAAAUUGUUGAUGCUUGAAGCUAUUUCCUUUACUCAAGUUGAAAGGACUCUGUUGGCUUUGGGGUCUUGACAGUGACUCCAAGAGCAGAGUGGGGAAGAGCCCGGGCAUAGCCUUGGUGCCAGGGAGGCUGCAGUCCAGUUUCAUGAUUCUGCUUUUUGUGUCUACCUUCAAGUGACUCACAGUAUACAUUCCUCUGAAAUAAAAACAGUGAACAGUCUGAAUCCUUAGAGAGCUUCAUGUCUUGGU